UAGGGAAUCUUCCACAAUGGACGCAAGUCUGAUGGAGCAACGCCGCGUGAGUGAAGAAGGUCUUCGGAUCGUAAAACUCUGUUGUUAGAGAAGAACACGAGUGAGAGUAACUGUUCAUUCGAUGACGGUAUCUAACCAGCAAGUCACGGUUAACUACGUGCCAG
rnacentral:rRNA from 1 species